rnacentral:lncRNA from 1 species
UUAAAUUGUCGCCUCUCGCCGACAAAAGUCGAUGCCUCUUUUUUUUGUUUGAAGGGUUCCCUCACAUUCGCCGUCUUCUUCUUCUUCUUUGGGUCCCGUCGGCCGGUGAGGCCGUCAGACCAUCUUUUGGCCAUUGGGCACUUGCGCGCGCGUGCACAAAAAGAGUUGCUCACUUGCCCGACAACAACUCGACAAGAGCAUGAAAAAAAAAAUCGAGAAGACACAGACACGACCAAAUCCUCCAGGCAAAAAAACUGCGACCUCGACUUUUUCUCGCGCGCAACCAUUGGCGGCAGAGAAGAAGGCCAAAAAAAAGAGAAAAGGCACGCAAGGCGACAGCCGCCGCCCGCAAAGCCAACAAGAGGCACGCUAAAAAAAUAAAAAUAAAAAGACGAUCUUCCUCACGACCGCG